GAAGAGGUGGCCGAGUGGUCCAAGGCGCCGCAUCCUUAAAUAUUCUGUUUGAUUCCUCUUGGAUUCAAAAACUGCGGUCUGUUCCAAGAACAGUCGUGGGUUCAAAUCCCUCCCUCUUCU